CAGCAGCCGCGGGAAUACAGAGGGUGCGAGCGUUAAUCGGAUUUACUGGGCGUAAAGCGUGCGUAGGCGGCUAAUUGAGUCGGAUGUGAAAUCCCCGAGCUUAACUUGGGAAUUGCAUUCGAUACUGGUUAGCUAGAGUGUGGGAGAGGAUGGUAGAAUUCCAGGUGUAGCGGUGAAAUGCGUAGAGAUCUGGAGGAAUACCGAUGGCGAAGGCAGCCAUCUGGCCUAACACUGACGCUGAGGUACGAAAGCAUGGGGAGCAAACAGGAUUAGAUACCCCUGUAGUCCCUGUCUCUUAUCC
rnacentral:rRNA from 1 species